UACGUAGGGUGCGAGCGUUUGUCCGGAAUUAUUGGGCGUAAAGAGCUCGUAGGCGGUUUGUCGCGUCGGCCGUGAAAACUUGGGGCUUAACCCCAAGCCUGCGGUCGAUACGGGCAGACUUGAGUUCGGCAGGGGAGACUGGAAUUCCUGGUGUAGCGGUGAAAUGCGCAGAUAUCAGGAGGAACACCGAUGGCGAAGGCAGUGUUCUGGGCCAGUACUGACGCUGAGGAGCGAAAGCCAGGGGAGCAAACGGG
rnacentral:rRNA from 1 species